GCACAAGCGGUGGAGCAUGUUGUUUAAUACGUCACUAACCGUAGAACCUUACCAGGUCUUGACAUCUUCGGAACCCGGCUGAAAGGCCGGGGUGCCCUUCGGGGAGCCGAAAGACAGGUAUUGCAUGGCUGUCGUCAGCUCGUGUCGUGAGAUGUUGGGUUAAGUCCCGCAACGAGCGCAACCCUCAUCCUGUGUUGCUACCGGGUCAAGCCGGGCACUCUCAGGAAACUGCCCGUGCAAGCGGGAGGAAGGUGGGGAUGACGUCAAGUCAGCAUGGCCCUUACGACCUGGGCUACAAACAUGCUACAAUGGCGCGUACAGAGGGCAGCGAUACCGCGAGGUGGAGCCAAUCCCAAAAAGCGCGUCCCAGUUCGGAUCGGAGUCUGCAACUCGACUCCGUGAAGUCGGAAUCGCUAGUAACCGCAGGUCGGCGAUACUGCGGUGAAUACGUUCCCGGGCCUUGUACACACCGCCCGUCACGUCACCUGAGUCUGUUGCACCCGAAGCGCCUGGCCCAACCGCAAGGGGGGAGGGUGUGAAGGUGUGGCCGGUAAGGGGGACG
rnacentral:rRNA from 1 species